GUUGGUGCAAGAUUGAUAAUACUUGCAUGACUAAGUUAAAAAUGGAGGUAUAGAUGGAGGUACUAUACUGUAAUUCGUAUUUUCACAUGAUUAUAACUAUUGAUUCACAUGAUUGAACUAUUGAUUCACAUUAUUUACUAUUAGGGGAGGUGGUGCAAGUUUGAUAAUACUUGCAGGACUAAAUUAAAAAUGAAGAAAAAGAGGAAGGUAUUAUACUGUAAUAUUUCGAGCCCCAAAACGUGCAAUUAUCGAAACUAUAUUUUCCUAUAAAUAGAAGCUCAUUCUUCCUUCAUUUCUCACCAAUUCACUAAAGCUAUAGAGCAAUUAUUAUAGAGAGAAAUUAUAGAGAGAAAGAAGAAGAGAAGUCUGCUACCUCUCUACUCCAGUAUCCAGUUUCUUUCUAAGGUAAGGGGUAUUAUUUCUUUCGUAUUCAUGAAGAGAGCUUUUGUUAUUCCAUUCUUUAUUAUUAUGUUGGAAUAACCUGUCUAUGCGAAGUACCGCAUACAUGGUGAAAUUCUUUUGUUAUUCCAUUCUUUAUUAUUCUGUUGGAAUAUCCUGUCUGUGCGGAUUACGCUAGACCUGGUUCCAUUCUUUAUUAUUCUGUUGGAAUAACCUGUCUGUGCGGUCUAUCGCAUGCAUGGUGAAUUCUUUUGUUAUUCCAUUCUUUAUUAUUCUGUUGGAAUAUCCUGUCUGUGCGGAUUACGCUAGACCUGGUUCCAUUCUUUAUUAUUCUGUUGGAAUAACCUGUCUGUGCGGUCUAUCGCAUGCAUGGUGAAUUCUUUGUUAUUCCAUUCUUUAUUAUUCUGUUGGAAUAUCCUGUCUGUGCGGAUUACGCAUGACCUGGUUCCAUUCUUUAUUAUUCUGUUGGAAUAACCUGUCUAUGUGGAUUAUCACAUGCAUGGUGAAUGAUCCUUCGUAUUCAUUCCUUAUUAAAUUGUGGAAAUGAUCUGUCUACGUGGAUUACCGCAUGGCGGGUGAAAAUCCAUUUGCAGUUUCAUAUAUUCUAUUAUACUCAGUUGGUUAAAGUUUUGGCUUCUAUACUCCAUGAAAUUAGUAGAAUAUCCUGGAUAUUUGCGCUUCAUCCAGUAUCUUUUCAUGGAAAUAUUCUUCUGAGCAUUCUUGAAUUUUACUCCACAAAGCAGUAUCAUGUUGACAAUUUGGACGUAAUUGAUUUCAGGAUAAAUUAACUUAUAAAUCUUUAAAAUUUAUUCUUGAACUUGUUUUAUUGAAUUAUUAUGUCAUUGUCAUCAUCCUCAUGCUUAUAUUGUGAUGAAAGUCAUCUUUGGCUUACGUGCAUAGAUGGACUUGGUAUGAUUAUGACCAGGGAUUAUUCGGUAUAAUCAUGACCUGUAAUGUUAUAAAUGAUGUGGUAAAAGUCCUCAGUGGCCUGUAGUGCAUUGAUGGACAGUUUUUGGUAUGAUUAUGACCAGGGAUUAUUCGGUAUAGUCAUGACCAUUGAUGAUUUAAUGAAUAUCCUUGGCCCGUAGUGCAGGGAUGAUUCGAUGAUGUGGUUUAUUUAUUAAGCUGAGUCUCAGCGAUAAAAAUUGAUGAAAACAUUUUAAAUCAUAGAAGAUAGUAGAUAUCAUGCUCUACUUGACUCUUCUAAUGGAUUGCUUAUUCCGCUGCAGUUAAACUUGAUGUCUAUUGUAUUUUAUCAGUUUAACAUUGUUGAAGGCUAAUGAUAAUUUAUUCUGCAUUAUCUUAGUCAUAAUAUUUCUUACUGGGCUAGUUGAGCUCACCCUUUCUUUCACUGUUCUCUUCAGGAAAUGAGAAUAUAGCUGGGACAAAUCGAGGAACGGAGUGAUUGUCCAGAUGAUAGCAUUAGUAGUCCUCACUAUUCUGUUAAAUAGUGUGACAAUAAAUAUAAUGAGGACUCCAUUGAGUGUGGAUAUUGUCUAGAUGACAAUAUUCUUAUUAAAACUCUCAGUUUAUGUUUUGUCGUAUUUUACACGACAGUUGUAUUAUUAAGUUGUAUUUGUAUUUUUGUACCAUGUAUUUGGAGACUCAAGAUGGGUGAUGUAUACCUGUUUUUGGGGCGUCACAAUAUGGGAAUCUAUAAUAUAUAGUAAAACAUGCUAUGCUAACAUAUCAUCACAUGUAUCCACGUAACAAUAUAAUUUCCAAUUUACAGAGACUUUACAGAAAACUUGAAAGCCAAUUAUUUUACAAAACUUAUACAACGUAAUUUGAAAUUUGGGGAAGAAGAGAUUACCCUUGAUUACUCUUCUUGGAUUACACAAGGUGAUAACAAGUUAACAACUCCCAAUUUCCACACUUCUUCUCAUUUAAUCUCACUGAUUCUCAAAACUCUCUCUCCCUCUCUGUUUUGCUUUUCCAGACUUAGCAAAUAAUAAAACAAAAGGAAGACGUAUAUAAUAAAGAACUGACGCGUUGUGGAGGUCAAUUACCCAUCAUGGGUUAACUGCCCUCAACUCCCACUAAGGCCAUGUUUGGCUAGCUUUAAAAAGCUUAUACCCAUUUAAUUUAAUUAAUCCCUUAUAAUAUAGUUUAAAUCAUGUCACAUCCAAUUAGAUAAUAAAUCAAACAUCUAAUUUAAUUUAAUUCAAAUAACAUAUAAUAAUUUCUCAUUAAUUCACAGUCACAUAAUUAAAUUUCUCAUUUAUUAAUUAUGUCAGAUUCAUUAAUUCUCAAAUUAAUUAUUAAAUUAAUUAAAAUAUCAUUAGGCUUAUUAAAUAUUUCUUUUAAUUUUAUAAACUCACAUAAAUACAUACUUCGAAUAAUAAAAUUCUUCACAUUAAUUUAAUAAAUAUAAUACAUAUAAUUAAAUUAAUCUAUCACAACUUCAUCAAUUAAUUAUUUAAUCUAAUAAUUAAUUCAUCAAAAAAUAUUUAUUUAAUCCAAUAAAUAUUAAAAUUAAAUUACAAAAUCUCGGUUGUCACAUCUUCACCACCUCUCAUACCCAAGAUCUUUGUCGAGGUAAUGUCGGCAACUCAAGAGAUGAUAUCAUUGGGCUAUCAACCUGGAAAAGGGUUGGGCAAAGAUCAUCAGGGCAUUAAAUGCCCAAUUCAAGUUCCCAGUCAAACAGGGACAGCCGGACUAGGCUAUUCUGCCAAUUCCAGUAAUAGGAAUCCUCAUAAGCAUAAACAGAUUCCUUCAGCUUCAGCCACAUGGUGAUUAUCUCAAAUUAUAGAUCCUGAGCCUAUACAGUCUCCGAGAAAGGUUCAUGCCCAUGUAAUGGAUAUGUUAUUUCCCGAACCGAUACCGGUUAAAGUAAAAGAGAUCUUAAUUCCUGAUCCCGAAGUGGAAGAAAGGGAACGAAGACGUAAGCAAGACAUUGCCAGGAGAUUGUCUCGCCUACGCAUCAUUUUCCAUGAUGAGAACACAAAUAGAUACACCUCAGACGAUGAUUGUCCAGAUAUUAUGGUCAUCAUUCGGGAAAAGGAGGACGAUAAUAGCCCCUUUAUCACUGCAGUCCAAUAGGACUUCACCCUUGAUAAUUGGAUCAGCACUCCUUGUAUUUGUCGCCAAGGGUAAAAAAGGGUAGAAACUCCCUCUGCCCUGUAGAUAGCUAUAACUGCUUACUUUUCUGUACAGUAUUAGCAGUUAUUUUGUCAUUACAGGCUAACACUUUGUAUGAUUGAAUAGUUUCAUAUAUUAAGUAAAAGCAUAUUUUGUUUCAGAACUCUGAAUUUAGAUGUGCCUAUACUUGCUGAUGAGGUGCCUUUUCUCCACAAGGACUGUAACUUUGAUGAAAAGUUGGACUCAGAAUUAAUGGAAAUACAAGAGGACACUGAGAUACCUCAGGAGAUCAAAGAAUGGGUCGAGGAUAAACCAAAACCUAAUCUUGAUCAAACCAUCUCAUUCAAUCUCGGAACCUUAGAAAACCCUUAGCUAAUCCAGAUUGGUACAGACCUCACUCCAAACCAAAGGAAUAACAUGGUUACACUAUUAACCCAAUUCCAAGAUGUGUUUGCAUGGUCUCAUGAAGACAUGGUGGGCGUAUCCACUGACAUCGACAUUCAUCGUCUUCUCAUUAAAGAGGGAUUCAAGCCAGUCUGGCAGAAGCUCAAGUGAUUAAAACCUGAGUGGAGUUUAAAGGUUAAAGAAGAAAAUGUGAAACAAUUUCAAGCUGGCAUCAUCAUGGUGUCUACAUACCCUAAAUGGCUAUCCAACAUAGUCCCCAUACCUAAACUAGAAGGAAAGGUGCGAGUUUACAUGGAUUAUCGGGAUUUGAAUAAAGUUUGCCUUAAAGAUAACUUUCCCGUGCCAUUUAUCCACAUUCUCAUUAACAAUAUUGCUCAAUACGGCAUAUACUCCUUUGCUGAUUGUUUUGCGGGGUACCAUCAAAUCAUGGUUAUUGAGGAGGAUCAUCAGAAAACUGCAUUCAUCAAGCCUUGGGGAACCUUUUGCUAUAGACGGUUGUCAUUUGGCCUCAUUAAUACCAGCGCUAUGUACCAGCUAGCCAUGAUGGCUCUUUUUCAUGACUUAAUUAACAAGGAGAUAGAGAUCAAUGUGGAUGACAUCAUUGUCAAAUCCCGAAUGGAAGAAGACCACUUACACCAUCUCAAAAAGCUAUUCAACAGGUUGCGUAAGUAUAAAUUGAAGUUGAAUCCAGCCAAGUGCGCCUUUGGCGUUAAAUCAGGCAAGUUGCUAGGUUUCCUAGUCAGCCACAAAGGGAUUGAUCUGGAUCCCACCAAAAUCCAGGCCAUCACGGAAACGCCCAUUCCUCAGACAUAGAAGGAAAUACGAGGAUUUUUGGGAAGGAUCGACUUCAUUAGCCGAUUAAUCUCCCAACUUACAGCAACAUGUGAGCCUAUUUUCAAAGCUGUUAAGAAAGAACUCCUCCAUGAAAUGGAACAAUGAGUGUCAAAAAGCCUUCCUUACAAUCAAAGAACAACUGAUCAAAGCUCUUAUUUUGGUACCUACCAGGGAUGAUGUUCCCCUAUUUAUGUACCUGUCCAUCAAUGACAAUGCUAUGGGCUGCAUGCUGGGAUAGAAAGAUGAUAGAGGCAAAGAACGAGCUAUCUACUACCUCAGCAAAAGAUUCAGUAGCAGUGAACACAAGUACACUCUAAUUGAGAAGACUUGUUGUGCUUUAGCAUGGGCUUCCAUGAGGUUACAGCAUUACCUCCAUGGUCACACAACCCAUCUCAUAUCCCGCGUGGAUCCUCUCAAGUACGUGUUCAAUAAACCCAUAUUGAAUUGUCGACUAUCCAGAUGGCAGUUGAUCCUACAGCAAUUUGACAUCGUAUACGUAACACAAAAGUCUAUCAAAGGUCAAGGAAUUGCGAAUCAACUAGCCGCCGCACCUUUAGGGGAUUUCAAACCCUUGGAAACAUACUUCCCCGAUGAAAGGGUAAUGACAGUCCAGCAACACCAUCAGUACGAUACACACCAAUUAUGAAAGAUGUAUUUUGAAGGAGUUGUAAACAGGGGAGCAGUAUCCCGUCGCCUUUAAAUUGUAGUUUGUCAGCACCAACAACACAACUAAGUAUGAAGGUUGUAUCAUGGGACUAAAACUUGCUCAAUCAAUGGGUAUCAGACAGUUAACUGUCUUUGGGGAUUCCUAAUUGGUAAUCAAACAAACCACCGGGAUCUAUCACACCAAAGACCUACAUUUUCUUCCUUACCAUCGACAGGUUAUCCAGAUGGCUUCAGAGUUUGAAGAAAUAAACUUCCUCCACAUUCCUCGGAAUAGGAAUGACUUUGCGGAUGCGCUAGAAACUUUGGCCUCUUUGAUCAACAUAUCUGACAAGGAAAACAUGCCAAGCAUCCCAUUUGCCCUACAAAAGGCUCCAGCCUAUGGGAAUUACAUUUGAGAAGUAUCGGAUGAGCUACCUCCCAUCCAAUACCCUUGGUAUCAGCACAUCAAGGAGUAUCUACGAGAUGGAUCUACACCCGUUGAGGCGAGUCCUGCUAAGAAAAAGUGAAUCCAUCGAAUGGCUAUAAAAUUCUACCUGAGCGGAGAUGCACUCUACAAACGAGAUGCGGGAUUAGGUCUCCUCAAAUGUCUGGACAAGGACCAAGCUCAAAGACUCAUGGAUGAAAUCCAUGGUGGAGUAUGUGGCCCACACAUGAGCGGCCCUCUACUUGUUAAAAAGAUCCUCAAAAUAGGGCAUUACUGGCUCUCUCUCAAAGAUGACUGUGAUGAUCACGUCAAGAGAUGUUAUCAAUGCCAAAUUCAUGGGAAUGUUAUCCUCGCCCCUCCAAGGGAACUCCACAUUAUGAGUUCACCCUGGCCCUUUCUUAAUGUGUGGAAUGGACGUGAUCGGGCCCAUCGAGCCCAAAACCAGUAAUGGGCAUCGGUUUAUCUUCACCAUGAUCGACUACUUCACCAAAUGGGUAAAAUCAGCCUUCUUCCCCAAGGUUAUCAAAGAAGUCAUCAUUUGUUUCAUUAGAAACAAUGUCAUUUAUCGAUAUGGACAACCAGAGGUUAUUGUUUUAGACAAUACUAAGAACCUCAACAACAAAAUGAUGGAGGAGUUGUGCAGUAAAUUCCACAUCAAACACCUUAACUCCUUUAUCUAUCAUCCAAAGAUGAAUGGUGUUGUUGAAGCAGCUAAUAAGAACAUCAAGAAGAUCAUGCAAAAGUUGUCCGCCAAUCACAAAGGAUGGCUUGACCUCUUGCCUCUGACUCUAUUAGCCUAUAAGACUUCAAUACGUACUUCCACUGGGGCAACCCUUUACUUAUUGACCUAUGGGAUGGAAGCAGUGCUCCCCAUAGAAGUGGAAAUGGAAUCCCUCAGAGUGUUGAAAGACGCUUAGCUGGAUGAAGACCAAUGGUUGGAAGACAGGUAUCACCAAUUGUCUCUAAUAGACAAAAGGCGAGGUGAUGCUAUCUUCCAUGGUCAGUUAUACCAACAAAGGAUCGCCAGAUCCUACAAUAGGAAAGUUCGGCAACGACAUUUUAAACAACAUAACUUGGUUUUAAAGAAGAUCAUUGACAACCAAGAUCAGUCAAAGGGAAAAUUUGCUCUAAACUGGGAAGACCCGUUUAUUGUCAAAGAGGUAUUGACAGGAGGUGCUCUCAGAUUACAGGAAAUUGACGGCGAUGAAUUUCCACAACUCAUCAACUCGAACACCGUGAAAUGGUACUAUAUCUGAGGUUAGCAUCAAGCAAACAUCUUGGUUUUGGAUCACCAGAUCCCCAGUCAUUUCAGGUUUUCUAACCCUUAUUAUAUACAACCUUUCUUCUUACCCAUUUUCCCCAUCAGGGAAACAUACUCUUCAAGCCAGCAGCCUGGUUUAGGAUCAGCAGAUCCUUCAAUCCACUUCAUUUCAAAUCCUCUCACACAAUUUUGGUUAUCCCACUAGGGAUUGAACCUUUCAUACCUGCAGUUUUGUCCCACUACAGAUAAGACUUUUCACACCUACAGUUUGUCCUGUACAUGGGAUUAAACUUUCUCCCAUGCAGUUUGUCCUGAACAUGGGAUCAAACUUUUCGAUUGCAUCUCAUCCUGCACAUGGGGCGAACUACGUCGACCUGAUCUCCCCGAUAUCAGGGAGUACGUAGGCAACCAUUUUCUAAUGGCCCGGUCGCAAUAAAAAAAACAAAAAACAAAAAUACUUCUACACCCUCUUACACUUCCAGAUCCUUAUAAACCCUUUCACAUACAACAUUGAACCUUUUACACCGGGUUUAAACUACGCAGGCCUGAUCUCCUCUUCAAUAGGAGUACAUAGGAAGCCAUUUAUGGUUCGGUCUUACCCCCUACCAAAACAAAAAAACUUGUCACAUGGUACUGGGAUCAUACUUCAAUCCACCACUUUUCAUCGGCUUCAGACCAAAUGGAUGGAACUAACUGAUCUCCCCACACAAAUGGGAGAAUUGGCGAACAUCUAAGCUGUGGUUGAGUCCUAAAAGAGAAACACCAAUCCAUAAGAGAUGGAACUAACUGGAUCUCCUCUUCAAUAGGAGUACCAGUGACCAUCUGUGGUGCGAUCAAUCUCAGAGAGGAGAGCCACAUUCCUCUCCACAUCUACAUACAGAAACUAGUCCCAAGGCACCAAAAAGGGUAGGGAUACACACAGAUCAAUGAUCUAUUCUGAAAGAUCCUGAGACAUCUCAAUGUCAACCCAUCAAGGAUGAGUUCAGGAUACAUCACGAUCGCAAACUCUGAAGAAAUAGGCAAAUAUCAAGCAAGUAGCAAGGCACAACUAAAAAGGAAGUAAAUCGGUGCAUAUGCGAGCUAUCAAGUCUAACAUAGAAUAUCUCUCCAAAGAAGGAGGUAACGAUGUGGUCUCCUGUUCAAGGGUCUCUACACGUGCUAAUAGAUCCACAACCAACUGCAUGGUGACAUGAUGCUCAUCAAUAUAUACACUCAUCUCAGCAAUCAUGCCAGUAAUAAAGGAUCUCACUGUAGUAUUAUUUGUAGCGGCUACGUCCCGGGCAGAUAUAGCAGCAUCCCUCUCAACAAUCAAAGCAUCUCUGGAUGAUCUAGCCUCAUCCUGCUCAGCAAUAGCGGUGUCUCUAUGAGCCAAGGCAUCCUCUCUCUCUCUCUAAUAGAGCAGCAUCUCUACCAGCAAGAGCUGUCAACAUCAAGGUCCUAGCCUGAUCUCUUUCAAAAGUCAUCAAAUGAAGACUCCGUUCUAAAUACUAUGCUAAAUGCGGGGUCACAGUAGCGGUCACACUGGGAGAAUCCAUAAUAGCUACUGUCAAACUAGCAAAUAGCUCCUCCUCGGUAGGAGAAUCAAUGUCCUCUACGGGCUCUCCAUCAUCCAAAUCAAUCCCCGACACUGUGGAUACAACCGCAGCCGAUGCAGUCUCUAUCUCCAUCCAUGCAAAAUACUCUGUCAAAUAGCCCAGAUGGCUAACAGAAAACUCAGCUAGCUCACGCUGAUCCCAACAAGCAUAUACCCUGGAUCUAUCCUCUGCUAACAAAUAGCGAGAAGCCAAGCGCUUACCUAAUGCUCCCUCAAAAGGACGGAAGUCCUGAAACUGGUUGAACUAUGACAUCACAUCCAGUGGGUGGUAGGUCGUCAUACCCCUCAAACCAGCCAAAGGGAGAUAAUCCAUGUCAGAUGCAUGAGUGAUGAAGCUAUAGGGUGAACUGAGCCAUGUACAAGGCAAAAUGCCAAAUGGAUCUCCUAUCCCUUCCAAAAACACCGACUAGGAUGUAGCGUUUGUACACCCCGCUAGCUGAAAGGAAUAAGAUAUGGCUAUCUCAUGGGUAAAACAGUAUCCAUGCUAUCAGAAGGUGCCAAUCGGUCUCAGGUGUGACAUGAACCACACAUACAACAUGACCGAGCUGCCUAUGAAUACCCUUGUGGGAUAGGUAUGACAAUACGUGGUGGAUCUCAAUGUCUCUGUCACAAUCAUCGGCACAAUGGUAUGACCCUCCCUGAGAGCUCUCACCCCAUGACAACACUGAUGUCCAACUCAUCCAUAUACAGUGGCAUGUAUAUAGAAGCCACUACGCACAUAACGAGUACAUCUACUCUGGCUACAUGCCACUGGUCCUCCGGUGUGGUGAAAUCCCCCGAGUGUCAUGCAUAACUGUCCUCUGAGCCAAAUCUGUCUACCAAAAAAUGCUGAGAUAUCACAUAGUCGGAUGUUAUCUCAUCCUGUACUACUCUAUGCCUCAGCCCGGUGAGGGUCAUAAACUGUCGGCUCAUGUCGCAAGGUCAUCCAAUAGCAGCGCCGUGAACCGCGCAUACUCCUCUAAGGUGGGAGUCAACUCCAGAAUACCAAACCGAAAAACCUGCCUCUCCGGUAUCCAAUGCUCCAGCAUACCCUGUACAAAGCCUGCGGGAACCUGAAACAUCAGAAGGGUCAUAGAAUGCUGUAAUAACUGACCUACGGUCACCCUGUCUAGAGGUGACAAACUAUCAUACCACGACCUCAGACAUGAGGCUACCAACAAUGCUGGGGUGUGAUCAAUACGGUUGACUAUCGAAGAAGAUAUCUAUGUGGGCCAUAUCAUAUGACCAUCCGGGGGUCAAUAUUGAAUAUCUCUGGACAUACAUACAUAUGCAUAACAUAAUACAUGCAUGAUAAAAUAGAUGGCAAUAUGAUGUAGGGAAUAACAAUAUAUACAUUCCUAAGUACAUCAUCAUCUAAUACAUCUCUGUACAGCUAAAAAUACAGGGAAAUGGGGCACAGACGCCCAACAACUAACAAAGGCCUAUCAAAAGAUAUAGCGAGAAUGGGGCACAGCCACCCAGUAUCUAAUAGAGGCCUAUCAAAAGAUAUAGCGAGAAUAUACAUCAGAAGAAGACAAUGGUGUCAAUGUCUAUAUCAUCAAUCAUGUCCACCUGAUGUAACUCCUCCUGAGUCACUGGAUCUCCAUCAACGGGGAUAUCAGGCCUAUAUAACGGAGGAUCUGCACCGGUAAAGACAUAUGGGUCACCUGAGGGGCCAGUUCCAGAGCUGGAAGGAUCAAAGGUAUCUGCCUCUGAAGGAUCUCUGCCCAAAUGCCGGAUAAAGAAAUGUGCCUAGUCCAACUGCCAGGUCAAACUGUCAAUCUGUGUCAAAUGAGUUGGAUCUCUAACACAGGCCAUCCAAUCCAUCAUCAUCACGGAUCCAGGAACCAUAUCCCCCAUAAACUGCGUGGCACAGGUCUGGGCUCCGAUGGUACGAAGGGACCACCAACGCUCGAACAUCUCCUGAGUAUAAGGACCCUUUGACAGUGUAAAGCCGUUAACACCCAUCAAUGGGAUAUCAAUGAUGGGCGACUAUGAUACAGGCCAAUAACGCCUGGCAUGAGGCAAGAUCGGUACACGAAUCUCCCCUGUGGUGCUCCUAAUAACACGCUCUCCUAAAUAGACCUCACAUCCUCUAUCUAUGAAGAGAAGAAUCCUACGGGUGGAUAUCAAGUACUCGACACCAGUUGGGUACCCGUCCUCAAACCCAACGGUCAAAUGCUCCCCUGAAUAGGGAAUCCAAGUGAUAGCAUCAUCUGUCAACAACUCCAACUAUAGACGACAAUGGGUGAAACCCUAAGCUACAGGAACCUCUACCAGUAUGGAGUGAUGCCAUCGCCGUCCUCGUGGAUAGGUCUCCAAACCUAACACACUCACAGGACACAAACAUGAGAGCCUCUCAUAGGCCCAGAACUACCAACACAAAGGAAAACAUCUGCUUUCAGUCAACACCCUUAACUUGUACAUGGGAAAUCAUAAGAGAAAUACUCACCAACAGAAAUGGGUAAAAUCCUAGACAAGCCUCCGUCAAGCCCUGCAAACGCAUGCGCAUGCCCCUGAGGAAAUAGGUGAAGGUGUAGGAGCCCCAAUCAUACUCUCCUAUACAGUCCACAUCUCGUGUGGCGCUCACAAAAGCGAAUGAUACCGUGGAAGAGUUAUCUUCUAUGAAGCAGCCCCUAAUGAUUAUCACGAACAAUCACCGAAGAAUGCGAUCGCUGACUCUCACAUCAUCGGGCAUGGGCUCACUCAAUAGCCCGCUCAUAGCAUCUAUGCUCAAAGGACCUGUACGAAUUAUCCUAUCUUUGAGCGCCUUAGCCGGGACUCCUAACAAUGAUCUAACGACAGUCGGGGUAAUAUUCAUCGUACAUGGCACUGGCGCCCAUCCAAACUCCAUACUGGUAAUAAAUCGUCAAUCCAUCAGCGUCAUCAUCACCUCACAAUCUAACAAAUGGAGAGACUGAGUCUGGUGAAACCAGCGCUCAGACAAAGCCCUAAGAUAACCCCAGGGACAACAACAGGGGAGGAUGGAAAAGAACGUCUUGAAGCCCCAGCCAUGCACAAUCGCUCGAUAAUCGGGAUGUAGAGCCUGAUAUAUAGAGUGAAUACUGAACCAAUUCCCUCGAGGCUACGUAAAGCCGAGAACCUACAUCAAAAAGUGGAUCAACAUCAGAAUCCUUUAAUCUUUAUCAUAGGAAAGAAGGAAGAUCAAAAUCCAGCUUGUACCUCAUUUGCAUGCAAGUAAACUGAGGGGUGUCAACUCAAAUCACCCAGAAGCUCUAGGAUUGCCACCUGAAUGCCUGGGAAAUCCCUAUGGGGAACAGGAGUAGCAAGAGCAGGGUCCGCAACUGGUACAUCUUCCUCCUCGUCCUCAACAUCCGGUAUCUCAACCUGGACAGGACAUAUCACCGCCUCCGCCAGACGACAAGGUUGUCUAACCGAACGGGGUCGAGGCACAUUAGAAGCCCUCCUUCGUACACCUGAAGUGGUCUUGCGGGAACUACUUGGCUAAUCUUGAUCUAUAUAUCUAGACACAAGUCUCUAAAUCACCUCAGAAAGGGUGUGGUAAACUCUAACCUGAAGCUUUUUCAAAUGUAUUCUAUGACUACAUGCAUGCAUGCAUUACUUUAACAUAUGUCUACAGUAGAGUUAAAAAUACAUGACUACCCAAUGCCUACAUUUUGGAAAUAAUUUGCUAUAGUCUCCUUUGUAAAUAGGACAUCCACAUGCACAUAGGCAUGACUAGGUGGCCAUUCAGUAGCACACUUACCCACAGUUAUAAACAUCCUAUAUGCAUUAUAACAUUAUAGUUAAAAUCCGUAAGGGUAGCCUAAUUACCACGAUUAAUUUGCUUUACCACCUUUGCUCAUUUGUCCUCAAAUAGGAUAAGAAAUAGCAUGAAAAAGGUGUCAAUUUGACUGUUUCAAAAGUUAAUUUUUUUCACAUCAUUAUGUUCAGCAUGGUUAAAUACUAACAUUUACUGUGUUGAAUAUUUUUUAUUAAGUCAUAUGAGCAUGCAUAUUCACUACUAUGUGUUUAGAAGUAUGCAUACGUUACCAAGUGUAAAACACUUGUACGGUGACAGAAUUUAUAGAAAGACGCUCGAACUCAGUAGAUCUGAAGAAGAGCUCUCGGAUUUCCUAUGCAGCGUAACUUGAAAAUGACUUAUGAAAGCCAUAGGUGCCUUAAAGGCCACCCACGACUGGCCAUAGGUGUACAUGUGGCUCCCUUGGGUGGGGCCCACCCCUCUGGCUUGGUCCAAUAUGAGUUUCAAAGGAGGUCUCACAAGUUGAAAAAGUUAAUUCAGGAAAAAAGAUGAUACGCGAUUGAGCGGAAAAGCCUGAAAUCCUAGUUUUCAGAGACCAAACUGUGGGUCUACAUGUCACUCAUUGGUAUUCAUCCAGACACAGGGUUUACUAUACCGAUGAUCAUAACUGUUGCAAAUUACACUCGGCAAUACCUCAUGAAGGUCUGAUGUCAUCGGUUUAGGGUCUAAGCCCCAAAACAUUUCUUCCCCAACGAAAACUCCGUCCAUUUCAUUUGUUGAUGCACACGUUAACGAAGGUCAAGCUGUAAGACCCCAACUUUUAUGAAUAAUGAAUAAUUUUCUCGAAAUAUAUUUUUAAAUAUUAUGGUGUGGAUUUGAUAUAAUGUUAUAGUUGUGGGUAAUAUUUACAAAUUUUGCAAAGUAAGCAAGUGGUUAUAUAAUAUUCAAUUGGUCGAGGAAUAUUCGUACGACGGUACAAUCAUUGGUGGACACCACAACGGAAGUAUUGUCGUAGUAAGAAAACGACAGAAUUAUCUUUUUAUAAAAAUAACGGCGGAAGUGUUACCGUUAAAACUGUUGAACUACCCGGUAAUAAAAGUACAGUAAUACGCGUGGUUGCAUAGUAGCGCACGAUAUUUGUUAUUGAUGCUUACGUGAGAAGUCACUCAGUUAUACUCAAUUAUUGCUAUAGUAAUUGCUGCAUCAUAUCUCUCAUAAUAUUGAUUCGAUUAUUGUCACAGUAUCAUCUGUAUAAUAUGAUAUAUUAUUAAAUUAAUAAUUGAAAUGACAAAGUUAUUCAUAUUAUUAAAUUGCAAUAUUGACAAUGUCUAGAAGUUCUGUCAAGGAGAGGUUUGGUCACCUAAUUGCGCGCCAAUAAGGAGAAAUCCUUAUUGGAAAGCCCCCUCUUUCAUGGGAACGACCUGGUUGUUAAAUAUUAUAAAUUAUAAUAUUAAUAAUGAAUAAGUUCAUGUUAAUUAAAGAUGAAAUUGAUAGUUCCAUUGUGUUGGAAUUUUUAGUGUUAGUGAAAAUCGACAUUUAUUUCAAUAAUAAUUGAUGUCUGGAGUUAUAUUGACCAAUCGGGUAAUUAACCGGAUAAAUGAGCAAUUAAUUGCUAUUAAUUCACAUGAUUAUAACUAUUUGUUCACAUGUGUGUACUAUUGAUUCACAUUCUUGUACUAUUAGGGGAGGUGGUGCAAGAUUGAUAAUACUUGCAUAACUAAGUUAAAAAUGGAGGUAUAGAUGGAGGUACUAUACUGUAAUUCGUAUUUUCACAUGUCUAGAACUAUUGAUUCACAUGAUUUACUAUUGAUUCACAUGAUUUACUAUUAGGAGAGGUGGUGCAAGUUUGAUAAUACUUGCAGGACUAAAUUAAAAAUAAAGGAAAAGAGGAAGGUAUUAUACUGUAAUAGUU
rnacentral:lncRNA from 1 species